rnacentral:rRNA from 1 species
CGUGAUUGGGCUAUAUUACGGACACCAAAUUACUGUUCNAUCAUUGUUUAGAAUUUUUUCAUGCUUCAAAGCUCGUUAAGACUAGAUGGGGUAUCUACAUAGCGGGUGCGACCCACCACGAAAUGGUUCAUCAAGUCUUCAAAAAAGNAUAUAUACGAAUUGCAAUUGCAUAUACUACGUAUGCGAUCAUACCAGCACUNAUACACGAGAUCCCAUCAGAACUCCGCAGUUAAGCGUGCUUGGGCGGAUAUUGUACUAGGAUGGGUGACCUCCCGGGAAAGUCCUCGUGUUGCAUCCCUCUUUUUUUUUAAUUUGUUUUUUUUGGUUAAAACUUUAUGACUCUAUAACUUUUAUACCGUGAGGCCAAANUAGGCAUGUGAUACCUUUUCGGGNNAUCCCAAAGAGAACCCAUCACAGACGGAGAGAUACAGGACCCAAACGAAACUUUUCCUUUGAACUU